rnacentral:rRNA from 1 species
GAUGAACGCUGGCGGCGUGCCUAAUACAUGCAAGUCGAGCGGAAGGACGAGACGCUUGCUUCUCUGAUGUUAGCGGCGGACGGGUGAGUAACACGUGGAUAACCUACUUAUAAGACUGGUAUCACUUCGGGAAACCGGAGCUAAUCCCGGAUAAUAUUAUGCACCGCAUGGUUCAAUAGUGAAAGACGGUCUUGCUGUCACUUAUCGAUGGAUCCGCGCUGCAUUAGCUAGUUGGUACGGUAACGGCUUACCACGGCAACUAUGCAUAGCCGACCUGAGAGGGUGAUCGGCCACACUGGAACUGAGACACGGUCCAGACUCCUAAGGGAGGCAGCAGUAGGGUAUCUUCCGCAGUGGGCGAAAGCCUGACAGAGCAACGCCGCGUGAGAGAUGAAGGUCUUCGGAGCGUAAAACUCUGUUAUUAGGGAAGAACAGAUGUGUAAGUAACUGUGCACAUCGUGACGGUACCUAAUCAGAAAGCCACGGCUAACUACGUG